UACGGAGGGGGGCUAGCGUUGUUCGGAAUUACUGGGCGUAAAGCGCGCGUAGGCGGCUUUGUAAGUUAGAGGUGAAAGCCCGGAGCUUAACUCCGGAACUGCCUUUAAGACUGCAUCGCUAGAAUUGUGGAGAGGUGAGUGGAAUUCCGAGUGUAGAGGUGAAAUUCGUAGAUAUUCGGAAGAACACCAGUGGCGAAGGCGACUCACUGGACACAUAUUGACGCUGAGGUGCGAAAGCGUGGGGGAGCAAACAGGAUUAGAAACCCG
rnacentral:rRNA from 1 species